rnacentral:lncRNA from 1 species
CUGUGGAGACAUGAAGAACGCAAUUUGAAUUUCGUCAAUCGGCCCAGUAGAACGGGAAAUAUCAAACUCUCCCUUUUUUUUUUUUUUUUUGGCGCAGUGUAUAUAUAAUACCUAUGCUUGCAUAAGAAAGAGUAUGACUGCCAUUCUUCAGUCAUAGUAGUUGUUCCCUUUACCAUGUUCUUCUUAAUCAGUGAACCAGAAUGUGGAUCUGUUGUUUGCUGUGAACAUGUUUUCAAUGAAGGCAAUAAACCUUUUGAAAGCCACCAUUGACAAUUUUCUUAAUUAAAUGAAAAUAAUUCCUUCUGUUAUUUGUUAAAAAAUUCAGAAAAGAUAGCAUGAAAAUCAAACAAAAUAAUAGUGAAUAAGUGAAGAAUAAAUUACACAUGUAAAGGCAGACAAUGAGUGCGAUGCUACAACAUUCAAAAGUACGAACAACAGUGUAAGGAAACAAAUACAACAUUAAAAGAAUAGUUGCUACCUGAACCAUUAAUUCUGUUGGGGUACCUGAUUUGAACUUUUACCGCUGUUGUUGACAAUGUUUACAUUUAACAGGUUCUUUGCAGAAGUGCUUCCCAUUUGUCCAUUUUCGACAAUUUGCUGUUGAUUUGGCUAUUUUUAUUUGUCAAAAAUGGUCAAUGGAAAAAUUUAGAAGCACCAAAUUUACUCAGAGUAUAAUUUUUUAAAGCAUAUUUACCUCCACUUUAAAUUUUUUGGUAACUUAUUGCACUAAAAAUAUAGUUAAGACUUUUUGGUAAACGUUUUUCCUUAUUAUAGCAGCCCUCAAAAUUUAAUUGCUGGUCAGCUGAGGUGUAAAGUGUAGUGAGGUAUAAAAACACAUGGUGAGAUAUCUCAAUUGAUUAACUAUUCAAUCUGGGGGGGUGCUAUAAUGAGGAAGUACCGACUUUUUCUUGACAUUCUGUAAUAUAUAUGUGUAUACCCAAAUCAUGAUUGUUAUGUGUGUGUGUGUUCAUAUCAUUAAUGGUAAACACACAUUUAUUCAGUUGAAUGUUAUGUGGAAUUUUCACUACUCACUCUUAGAACAAUGUAUCAGUUUUAUGUAGAUAUAUUUUUUUAUUAUAUUGUUUCAUUUGUGCUUGUUUAUAGGAAAAAUGUAUCCCUCAUGAUGUAAAUAUAUAUAUUUUUAAAUGAAAGACAUUUUAUCGUAUAUAAUUAUUUCAUAAAAUUAUAAAUGUAGAUUUUUAUAUGAUGCUUUCCCAUUUUUCAACAUCAUCUUGGAAUGGCCAUUUUGAAAUUCUCAAUACAGCUCAAAAUUUUUAUGGGGUUUUUGCUUAUUAUUAUUAGUAUUUGUUGUAGUAAUGACUUUGAAAAUAAACUAAUAUAUAUUUUAACCAUUUUAGUAUAUAUAAUUAAUAUUAUAUUUGAGUAAUGUAUUUUGAAUGAUAAAAUAUAUAUUGUGAGCACUUAAAUGCAUUUACUGCAGUGAAAACACACAUAAUUCAUUCCCCUCUCAAUGGCAGACCCUCGGCUAACUUCGGGUUGGCCACAACUAAGGCUAGAAAUGGUGGUCACUGUAUUGGAGGCACCUAAUAGCUGGCUGCCUUUGCCUCCUAUGAAGAAACAGUCAGUUACGACCAUGCUGUCUCCAGAAUUCGAACCUGAAACACAUGCACUUAUUUUUGGUCCCUCCCCUUCGUGCUGUGAACUUUUCGAAAAUGGAUUUCUGGUAAUGAGGUGGUCUUCAUGAGCAGAUCCAUGCUGCACUGCCACACAGAGGAUUAAUUACUAGUUACACAUGCCUGAAGGCUGGCCAUGCAAGUGUGUAGAACUAGCUGCUUUGAAGUUUUAAGUGAAAACAGAUCGCUGCAUACAUAGACAAAGUCAAGAGUGUGCGCAAUGCCAAGUUUGUGCAAUUCUGUGAUGUUUUUUUUAAGUGAAAAUAGGUCAAUGUAUACAUGGAAACCGAGUUUGUGUAAUUGUUUCACUUGUUAUUUUGGCUUUGUGUAGCAGCGAUUUUUGGCACAAGCCAAAAUAACAAGUCAAAGAAUUGCACAAACUCGUCCACGUACUGCAAAAAAUCCUCAAUUUUCACUAAGGGGCACCUGUAAAUAUAUUUUUACUGACAUGUAUAUAUUGUAAAUAUGUUUAUAAUAUUUAAAUAAAAAAUUAUUAAAAUUUUCAGAUACUUUUCUGUUAACAGAGUGUCAUUUAGUGUCAAACACAAACACAGACAUGAAAUCUAAUUAGAUGCAACAACUUUAAUUGGGCACAAUGUGAAGGUGUGCAUGAUGCAUUUCUCUGAGUUUUUACAGGUAAAAACAGAAUGUACAAAGGAAGAACAACAGUUUAUUUUCCCAUGAACAUGGCAACCAUUAAUGCUGUAUCAUUUUCCCAAGUACACAUCGACCAUUGUUCUCACCAUGUAUACACUGAUCUGUUGUCAUUUAAAGAAACAACAAAGAAUUGCACUAAUUCAGCCCUGCACAUUAAACAACAAACUAACACAUUUGUCACUUUACUGCAUAUUUGGCAACUGCACUCCAUUAACAGUAAAGUACCCUUUUUACAUUUAUAGCUUUACUCACA